rnacentral:rRNA from 1 species
AGCACUGUUUCGGCAAGGGGGUCAUCCCGACUUACCAACCCGAUGCAAACUGCGAAUACCGGAGAAUGUUAUCACGGGAGACACACGGCGGGUGCUAACGUCCGUCGUGAAGAGGGAAACAACCCAGACCGCCAGCUAAGGUCCCAAAGUCAUGGUUAAGUGGGAAACGAUGUGGGAAGGCCCAGACAGCCAGGAUGUUGGCUUAGAAGCAGCCAUCAUUUAAAGAAAGCGUAAUAGCUCACUGGUCGAGUCGGCCUGCGCGGAAGAUGUAACGGGGCUAAACCAUGCACCGAAGCUGCGGCAGCGACACUAUGUGUUGUUGGGUAGGGGAGCGUUCUGUAAGCCUGUGAAGGUGUGCUGUGAGGCAUGCUGGAGGUAUCAGAAGUGCGAAUGCUGACAUAAGUAACGAUAAAGCGGGUGAAAAGCCCGCUCGCCGGAAGACCAAGGGUUCCUGUCCAACGUUAAUCGGGGCAGGGUGAGUCGACCCCUAAGGCGAGGCCGAAAGGCGUAGUCGAUGGGAAACAGGUUAAUAUUCCUGUACUUGGUGUUACUGCGAAGGGGGGACGGAGAAGGCUAUGUUGGCCGGGCGACGGUUGUCCCGGUUUAAGCGUGUAGGCUGGUUUUCCAGGCAAAUCCGGAAAACCAAGGCUGAGGCGUGAUGACGAGGCACUACGGUGCUGAAGCGACAAAUGCCCUGCUUCCAGGAAAAGCCUCUAAGCAUCAGGUAACAUCAAAUCGUACCCCAAACCGACACAGGUGGUCAGGUAGAGAAUACCAAGGCGCUUGAGAGAACUCGGGUGAAGGAACUAGGCAAAAUGGUGCCGUAACUUCGGGAGAAGGCACGCUGAUAUGUAGGUGAAGCGACUUGCUCGUGGAGCUGAAAUCAGUCGAAGAUACCAGCUGGCUGCAACUGUUUAUUAAAAACACAGCACUGUGCAAACACGAAAGUGGACGUAUACGGUGUGACGCCUGCCCGGUGCCGGAAGGUUAAUUGAUGGGGUUAGCGGUAACGCGAAGCUCUUGAUCGAAGCCCCGGUAAACGGCGGCCGUAACUAUAACGGUCCUAAGGUAGCGAAAUUCCUUGUCGGGUAAGUUCCGACCUGCACGAAUGGCGUAAUGAUGGCCAGGCUGUCUCCACCCGAGACUCAGUGAAAUUGAACUCGCUGUGAAGAUGCAGUGUACCCGCGGCAAGACGGAAAGACCCCGUGAACCUUUACUAUAGCUUGACACUGAACAUUGAGCCUUGAUGUGUAGGAUAGGUGGGAGGCUUUGAAGUGUGGACGCCAGUCUGCAUGGAGCCGACCUUGAAAUACCACCCUUUAAUGUUUGAUGUUCUAACGUUGGCCCGUAAUCCGGGUUGCGGACAGUGUCUGGUGGGUAGUUUGACUGGGGCGGUCUCCUCCUAAAGAGUAACGGAGGAGCACGAAGGUUGGCUAAUCCUGGUCGGACAUCAGGAGGUUAGUGCAAUGGCAUAAGCCAGCUUGACUGCGAGCGUGACGGCGCGAGCAGGUGCGAAAGCAGGUCAUAGUGAUCCGGUGGUUCUGAAUGGAAGGGCCAUCGCUCAACGGAUAAAAGGUACUCCGGGGAUAACAGGCUGAUACCGCCCAAGAGUUCAUAUCGACGGCGGUGUUUGGCACCUCGAUGUCGGCUCAUCACAUCCUGGGGCUGAAGUAGGUCCCAAGGGUAUGGCUGUUCGCCAUUUAAAGUGGUACGCGAGCUGGGUUUAGAACGUCGUGAGACAGUUCGGUCCCUAUCUGCCGUGGGCGCUGGAGAACUGAGGGGGGCUGCUCCUAGUACGAGAGGACCGGAGUGGACGCAUCACUGGUGUUCGGGUUGUCAUGCCAAUGGCACUGCCCGGUAGCUAAAUGCGGAAGAGAUAAGUGCUGAAAGCAUCUAAGCACGAAACUUGCCCCGAGAUGAGUUCUCCCUGAGACUUAGAGUCUCCUGAAGGAACGUUGAAGACGACGACGUUGAUAGGCCGGGUGUGUAAGCGCAGCGAUGCGUUGAGCUAACCGGUACUAAUGAACCGUGAGGCUUAACCUU